rnacentral:rRNA from 1 species
AACGUAGGAGACAAACGUUAUCCGGAGUUACUGGGCGUAAAGGGCGUGCAGGUGGUCUGUUAAGUCUGGCGUGAAAGCUCUCGGCUAAACCGGGAGAGGUCGUUGGAUACUGGCGGACUAGAGGACGGUAGAGGCGUGUGGAAUUCCGGGUGUAGUGGUGAAAUGCGUAGAUAUCCGGAGGAACACCAGCGGCGAAGGCGGCUUUCUGGUCCGAUUCUGACGCUGAGGCGCGAAAGCGUGGGGAGCGAUCCGG